rnacentral:lncRNA from 1 species
AGCCCUUGAUUAACUUUCUUUUGUGCAUGAUCAUUGGAUUCCGUAUUCUAGCAAGUAAUAGGCCCAAGCUCAUAUAUACCUAACUUAAUUAGAACUCUUCUAAUCCAUCAGACCCAAAACAUAUUAAGUCCAUAUGUUAAAAUUAAUAAGAACUCUUCUAAACUAAUUGUUGAAUUAAAUUCUUUAAUUCAUAAGAAUCUAUAAGUCAAUAUUGAUAUCUAGCAAUGCAUCAUGACUACCC